CAACGCCACAUUCAAAUCACCUUAAACUCCAGCAGGUCAUCUGGAGCAUACCUGCCGGGCUAAAUGCACCGAGCUGCUGCGAUGUGAUUGGUCAAUUAGCUAAAACAAUGUGAACAAGUGUAUCUAAUAAAGUGGCCGGUGACUUCGUGUUUUUCGAUUUGGUUGUAUAGACUUCGAAGGGUCCCCCAAACAUCCCUUUUUGUCAAAUUACAGCCCCAAUAAAACAUUUUUGAAACCACCAUUUGUUAUCUUUUAUUGACUUUUCACAUUUUCAUAGCUCAACAUGACGUAAGUCCUUACGUAAUAUACGCACGUCACCUUGACAUAUGGUUGGCUGGUUAUCGUUACCGUUGGUUUGCUGGACAGCUAAGAGCUACCUAGUUAGCUUACAGAAACCACUUAAUUAGCCACAUAAUUCAAGUGAUUUACCUCUAAAUGUUAUACUGAGCUUAGAAAAACAGUGAGAAGAUGAAGCCAGUGAACAGUCUUUACAGUUGUUGACUAAACGUCACUGUGAGACCACCCUGCAGUAGGAUAUUUGCAAGGAGGAGGUAAUGUGACAGAAGAGCUGGUGCAGGGAUUACAGUCUCUGCAUCAGUGUCAGGAAAACAAAGGAGAUGAUCAUGGAGCUAAUACAGAUCCUCAAAGGACUUCUGGCAGCAGCCUCCCAAAAACCACAGACAUGUACAUAAGCAGAUGCUGGAAAGAGCCUCCUGAAGUUUAAAAGACACUACUCGCACAGCACACACACCGUUUGUCUCCCUCCCUUUGGGCGAGAGGCUGCAGAGCAGAACCACCAGACUGAGGGACUUUUUCCUGGAGGCUGUGACUCUGCUGGCCCAACCCAAAGGUAACAAACACGAGAAAACACCUGGGUCUUUGUAGUAUCCACC